GAGGGUAUAGCUCAGUGAUAGAGCGUGUGUUUAACACGCACAAGGUCUGGGGUUCAAUCCCCGGUACCUCCA
rnacentral:tRNA from 1 species